GACGAACGCUGGCGGCGUGCCUAAUACAUGCAAGUUGAGCGCUGAAGGUUGGUACUUGUACCAACUGGAUGAGCAGCGAACGGGUGAGUAACGCGUGGGUAAUCUGCCUUUGAGCGGGGGACAACAUUUGGAAACGAAUGCUAAUACCGCAUAAAAACUUUAAACACAAGUUUUAAGUUUGAAAGAUGCAAUUGCAUCACUCAAAGAUGAUCCCGCGUUGUAUUAGCUAGUUGGUGAGGUAAAGGCUCACCAAGGCGAUGAUACAUAGCCGACCUGAGAGGGUGAUCGGCCACAUUGGGACUGAGACACGGCCCAAACUCCUAAGGGAGGCAGCAGUAGGGAAUCUUCGGCAAUGGACGAAAGUCUGACCGAGCAACGCCGCGUGAGUGAAGAAGGGUUUCGGAUCGUAAAACUCUGUUGGUAGAGAAGAACGUUGGUGAGAGUGGAAAGCUCAUCAAGUGACGGUAACUACCCAGAAAGGGACGGCUAACUACGUG
rnacentral:rRNA from 1 species